UCAUGAACUACCUUGUCACCUACUCCACAAUUAGGAUUUGUUACUUGAUCUCCAUGUGUAUAUGCAAAUAUUUGCCUGUAUUUAUUGUCAUCAUCAUACUUUGGGCACUGGCCAUGCUACCUCUGUGAGGAAAGAAGGGAAAGGAAAGGAAAAAUAAGAAAAGAAGAAAACAUCCAUACAGGGUCUCACUCUGUCACCAGGCUGGAAUGACAGACUGAUAGGCAGACUCACAUAGCCUUCUUGCCUUUCCCUGAGGAGUUGACUCCAAUUGUCCUACACAUUCCUUCUCUAUGAUAUAGAAGCCCUGGGUCUCAGCGGUAAUGGCCUGGGAUUCACCAUCUCCUCUUGUGGCCACCUGAGACAUGGCUUCUGUUCCUAAGCCCCUAUUAAAUGUUCCUUUCAGAGAAAAUGGAUAUGUCAGCCUCUUUCUUCCGCCUCUCAGCUCCCUCAGACUUGUAGGUAGGUUUUCAUGUUCUGCUCACUGCAGAACAAGGGGGACACAGACAUUCAGUCUGUAACAACCAAUAAAGAUGUCUGGAUACUUACAUGACAUUAGCCAUGUAUAUAUCCUGGCAACAUGAUAUCCAUAAAAGCCUGCCUGACUCCGGUUUUAAUGAGGAAGCCUCGUCUAGGUCAGUAGGUAUAGUGGAGACUCUUAGGAUGGCCCUAGUGAUCUCUGCUCCUGGUGCUCACACCCUGUGGAAUCCCCUCUCCCAGGAGUGUGGAUGGAACCUGUGACUUGUGUCUAACCAAUAGAAUAUGGCAAGGUUGGUGUUUGUCAUUGCCAUGGUUGCAUUACACUGGACUCUGACCUCCACCUUGGGAAGAGAUUCUCCCACCUGCUGGCUUUGAUAAAGUGAGUAGCCAUGCUGGGGGGCUUGGGUGGCCAGAAGCUAGGGGCAGCCCAUAGGAGUUGAGAGUGGUUUCUGGCCAACAGCUGACAAGAAAAGGAAGCCCUCAGUACUAUACCCACAAGGAACUGAAUUCUUCCAACCACCAUGUGAUCUUGGAAGCAGAUCCUUCCCCAGUUGAACAUUAGUUGAGACCCUAGCUCUGGCUGACUCCUUAAUUGCAGCCUUCUGAGAAAGCUGGAAAAGAGGACCCAGCUAACUGUGCCCAGGCU
rnacentral:lncRNA from 1 species